GGCGCCGUCGUCUAUGGGUAGGAUGCCGCACUUUCACUGCGGAGGAGCGAGUUCAAGUCUCGUCGGCGCUA
rnacentral:tRNA from 1 species